AGUGUGUUGGAAGGCCCUCAGAAGUCUCAUCCAAAGUCAGUGAAGAGGAGGUUGCACCCUUAAAACCAGUGGUUGGCAGCUCAGCAGAUCCAGUGGCAAAAGAAUCAGUGGAAUGGAAACCAAAG